CGCUUUGCCACUGAGCCACGUUCCCCAAACCCCAGAACCCGCAUCCGACUGCGCUUGCUCCGGCGCCAAGAGACUCACCUGACACGGAGGAGGAAAACCCCAGGCUGCAAGUGUCCUGCCUUAGCUUCCCCCAGAAUCUCUGGCUUCAGGGAGAAGAGAUAAGGUUUUACUGCCUCAGGAUGGCCACACCAAGUUUUCUCGUGUACCCAAGCAGAUCCCAUCCUGUGGGUCCAGAGAAGUGAAGCUCCACCAGUGGCAUAAAGUGAUAUACUUCUAUAGGAGACUUACUGUGAAUGGCACCUGCAAGACUGGGAGUUGCCAAGGGCAGAAGUGCAUGGUUACCCUGACACUUGAGGAAGACUGGUCCUGAAAUGAGUGCAGCCAAGAAUGUCCCCAGAUGUAACCAUGAACUCAGCAACACCAACAACAACAAUGGAAAAAAGAUGACCCCCAGGAACAGUGGAUUUGUGGAGCAGGUACCAAGCCCCAGCAAAUACCCUGGAUGUGAAUAAAUAAAUAAAAUAAAGUAAGUUUCUAUUUCUCUGGGACUUCACCAAUCCUGGUCAACUUUAUCAAAUAGAAAGCAAGCAGAGACAGAGAUAGGGCGCAAGGGAAAGAAAGAUACCACAGCACCAAAGCUCCCUCCAGGACAAUGGGAGUCAGGUUUGAACUUGGGCCACAGCAA